AUGAUUGUCAUAAAUAUUUUGUUUUGUCUCAAUAUUCUAAGUUAGAUCCUAUUCCAACAGCUGAGCCUUCACUUUCUAACGGGGAAAAAUGAAAUUCAUAUGCCAAUGAUUCCCAACAAUUAAGAACUGUUUUCUACUUUUCGUCUAUGUUUGGACUCAUUGAGCGAAUGUGACCACCAGUUGUCACAAUAUUCUAACGACGAAUGCCCUACUUUCCAACAGACUUCACUUUCUAACGGGAAAAAAGG